UACGAAGGGGGCUAGCGUUGUUCGGAAUCACUGGGCGUCAAGGGCGCGUAGGCGGCUUUAUAAGUCGGGGGUGAAAGCCUGUGGCUCAACCACAGAAUUGCCUUCGAUACUGUAGAGCUUGAGACCGGAAGAGGUAAGUGGAACUGCGAGUGUAGAGGUGAAAUUCGUAGAUAUUCGCAAGAACACCAGUGGCGAAGGCGGCUUACUGGUCCGGUUCUGACGCUGAGGCGCGAAAGCGUGGGGAGCAAACAGG
rnacentral:rRNA from 1 species